CUACAGAGGGUGCGAGCGUUAAUCGGAAUUACUGGGCGUAAAGCGCGCGUAGGCGGUCUAUUAAGUCAGAUGUGAAAUCCCAGGGCUCAACCUUGGAACUGCAUCUGAUGCUGGUAGACUAGAGUUUUGGAGAGGGAAGUAGAAUUUCAGGUGUAGCGGUGAAAUGCAUAGAGAUCUGAAGGAAUACCAGUGGCGAAGGCGACUUCCUGGCCAAAAACUGACGCUGAGGUGCGAAAGCGUGGGUAGCAAACAGGAUUAGAAACCCUAGUAGUCC
rnacentral:rRNA from 1 species